ACCUGGCUGGCUCAGUCAGAAGAGCACGUGACUCUUGAUCUUGGGUUGUGAGUUCAAGUCCCCUGUCGGGUG
rnacentral:tRNA from 1 species